rnacentral:rRNA from 1 species
GAUUAUGGCUCAGGAUGAACGCUAGCUACAGGCUUAACACAUGCAAGUCGAGGGGCAGCGGGAUUGAAGCUUGCUUCAAUUGCCGGCGACCGGCGCACGGGUGAGUAACGCGUAUCCAACCUUCCGUACACUCAGGGAUAGCCUUUCGAAAGAAAGAUUAAUACCUGAUGGUAUCUUAAGCACACAUGUAAUUAAGAUUAAAGAUUUAUCGGUGUACGAUGGGGAUGCGUUCCAUUAGGUAGUAGG